UACGUAGGGUGCAAGCGUUAAUCGGAAUUACUGGGCGUAAAGCGUGCGCAGGCGGUUUUGUAAGUCUGCUCGUGAAGCCCCGGGCUCAACCUGGGAAUUGCGAUGGAGACUGCAAGGCUUGAAUCUGGCAGAGGGGGGGUAGAAUUCCACGUGUAGCAGUGAAAUGCGUAGAGAUGUGGAGGAACACCGAUGGCGAAGGCACCCCCUGGGUCAAGAUUGACGCGCUCAUGCACGAAGGCUAGGGUAGCGAACGGG
rnacentral:rRNA from 1 species